CUUCGGCUUGGGUCCUCCACCAGCAAAGGCCCCAGUGAACGUCUACAAUGGAGAACUUAAUUCUAGUAGGAAGACUGGUGUCCCUGCAUCUACAGGGGCUGCCUGGAUAGCAGUAAUAUGGAAUAUACAAGCAUUGGACAAAGCUGAAACUCGGUAUGGAUUAGCGGCAACUUAAAUAUGCCUUUUUGAAGGAGGGUGGAUAUGUCUAGGUGCAGCAGAUACUGACUCGUGGCUGAGAAGACCACCUUAGAUUGAAAUGGGGAUUUUUUCCUGUCACUGGCCUUCUUGGCCAAGUAUCUUCAAUGGCAUAGGCUGACCCUGAUCUUCAGAAUGUUGUAGGAUCAUCUUCUAGGUAAAUAUCCUGGCCAGUCCUGUACAUGGUUAUUAUGAAAUGAUGAGUAAUUUCGCCCCUAUCCUAGUUAAUUAUGCAGAGUUGCAUUGGUCUUUCUGAACUAGAAUAAUAGUUAUAAAAAAAGAAAUGGUUCAUUAUUUGGUUCUGAAGACUCUUUUCUUGCUUCAGGUUCCUUGAUAUAAAGUGGAUAUGAACUGGUUAUGAAGUUAAGGUGAGUACAGCCACUUAUAUUUUAUAUACUAUGAGAAGUAUGAUGUGAACUAUGACAAGCAUAUAUCUGAAACUUGAUGUUAAUACCAUAAUCUGAUUUUCAAAUUUUGAAUAUUUUUGAGUUCCUGCACUGAGACUUCCAUCUAAAAUAUGCAUUUAUCUCCAGGUCUAUGGGUCUUGCUAAGGUUCUCCCGUAAAGUGGCUGAAAGAAAAUAAAAGGUCUUGAUGUGUUCAUAAGUGCAUGUGAUGCAUUGGUCAACAUGAUGGGAAUGAACCCAUAUGUAAAUGCACCCUUGAGCCUUCUGAUAGACAGAACUCCUCCCAAUGCAGUGGAGGACCAGGAUGUAUGGCGACUUGUCUAAGGAAGGGCACUGGCUUGCUCCUGUGUAGGGAGUUCCAGAUGAAAGCCUAAGACUUAAGUUAUGGAAAUUAAUUUAUUUCAAGAUCUUGCUGUACUUUUAUACCA